AGUGAACGCUGGCGGUAGGCCUAACACAUGCAAGUCGAACGGCAGCACAGUAAGAGCUUGCUCUUACGGGUGGCGAGUGGCGGACGGGUGAGGAAUACAUCGGAAUCUACUUUUUCGUGGGGGAUAACGUAGGGAAACUUACGCUAAUACCGCAUACGACCUACGGGUGAAAGCAGGGGAUCUUCGGACCUUGCGCGAUUGAAUGAGCCGAUGCCGGAUUAGCUAGUUGGCGGGGUAAAGGCCCACCAAGGCGACGAUCCGUAGCUGGUCUGAGAGGAUGAUCAGCCACACUGGAACUGAGACACGGUCCAGACUCCUACGGGAGGCAGCAGUGGGGAAUAUUGGACAAUGGGCGCAAGCCUGAUCCAGCCAUACCGCGUGGGUGAAGAAGGCCUUCGGGUUGUAAAGCCCUUUUGUUGGGAAAGAAAAGCGGCAGGUUAAUACCCCGCUGUUCUGACGGUACCCAAAGAAUAAGCACCGGCUAACUUCGUG
rnacentral:rRNA from 1 species